rnacentral:rRNA from 1 species
CUGUUCCUACGGGGCGCAGCAGUGGGGAAUAUUGGGCAAUGGGCACAAGCCUGACCCAGCAACGCCGCGUGAAGGAAGAAGGCGUUCGGGUUGUAAAUUUCUUUUAAGAGGGAAGAGAAGAAGACGGUACCUCUUGAAUAAGCCACGGCUAACUACGUGCCAGCAGUCGCGGUAAUACGUAGGUGGCAAGCGUUGUCCGGAUUUACUGGGUGUAAAGGGCGUGCAGCCGGGCUGACAAGUCAGAUGUGAAAUCCCGCGGCUCAACCGCGGCACUGCAUUUGAAACUGUCAGUCUUGAGUACCGGG